rnacentral:rRNA from 1 species
GACGAACGCUGGCGGCGUGCCUAAUACAUGCAAGUAGGACGCAGUUGCGAACGGGUGAGUAUAGCGUAGGUAACUACCUAUUAGAGGGGGAUAACUCUUUGAAACGAUAGCUCAUACCGCCUACUCGUAGAUGGACCUUCGUUGUAUUAGGUAGUAGGUAGGGUAAUGGCCUACCUAGGCAAAGAUACAUAGCCAGCCUGGGAGGGGGGUCGGCCACACUUGGAACGGGACACGGCCCAGACUCCCACGGGAGGGAGCAGUAGGGAAUCUUCGGCAAUGGGGCGAACCCUGGCCGGGCAACGCCGGGGGAGUGAAGAAGGUUUUCGGAUCGGAAAGAUCUGUUGUUAAGGAAGCGGUACUUAACCAGAAAGGGACGGCUAACUACGUGCCAGCAGCCGCGGUAAUUC